GUGUAUAUAUGUAUACACAUAUAUGUGUAUAUAUAUGUAUACACACAUAUAUGUGUAUAUAUGUGUGUAUA
rnacentral:pre_miRNA from 13 species